rnacentral:rRNA from 1 species
UAUCAUGCUUCCAAGAAAAGCUCCUAAGCUUCAGAUAACUGGGAACCGUACCCCAAACCGACACAGGUGGUUAGGUAGAGAAUACCAAGGCGCUUGAGAGAACUCGGGUGAAGGAACUAGGCAAAAUGGCACCGUAACUUCGGGAGAAGGUGCGCCGGUGAGGGUGAAGGACUUGCUCCGUAAGCUCAUGCCGGUCGAAGAUACCAGGC